rnacentral:rRNA from 1 species
CCUACGGGUGGCAGCAGUGGGGAAUAUUGCACAAUGGGGGAAACCCUGAUGCAGCGACGCCGCGUGAGUGAAGAAGUAAUUCGUUAUGUAAAGCUCUAUCAGCCGGGAAGAAAAUGCCGGUACCUGAGUAAGAAGCCCCGGCUAACUACCUGCCAGAAGCCGCGGUAAUACGUAAGGGGCAAGCGUUAUCCGGAUUUACUGGGGGUAAAGGGGGCGUAGACGGCAGUGCAAGUCUGGAGUGAAAGGCGGGGGCUCAACCCCCGUACUGCUCUUGAAACUGUACGGCUGGAGUGCAGGAGAGGUAAGUGGAAUGCCUAGUGUAGCGGUGAAAUGCGUAGAUAUUAGGAGGAACACCAGUGGCGAAGGCGGCAUACUGGACUGUAACUGACGUUGAGGCUCGAAAGCGUGGGGAGCAAACAGGAUUAGAUACCCUUGUAGUC